rnacentral:tRNA from 1 species
GGAAGGGUGUUCCGAAUGGUAAGGAGCCGCUCUCGAAAAGCGGUGCCCGCAAGGGCGUGUGGGUUCAAGUCCCACCCCUUCCGCCG